rnacentral:rRNA from 1 species
GAUGAACGCUGGCGGCGUGCUUAAUACAUGCAAGUCGAGCGAACAGACGAGGAGCUUGCUCCUCUGACGUUAGCGGUGGACGGGUGAGUAACACGUGGAUAACCUACCUAUAAGACUGGGAUAACUUCGGGAAACCGGAGCUAAUACCGGAUAACAUGUUGAACCGCAUGGUUCAACAGUGAAAGACGGUCUUGCUGUCACUUAUAGAUGGAUCCGCGCCGCAGUAGCUAGUUGGUAAGGUAACGGUUCACCAAGGCAACGAUGCGUAGCCGACCUGAGAGGGUGAUCGGCCACACUGGAACUGCGACACGGUCCAGACUCCUACGGGAGGCAGCAGUAGGGAAUCUUCCGCAAUGGGCGAAAGCCUGACGGAGCAACGCCGCGUGAGUGAAGAAGGUCUUCGGAUCGUAAAACUCUGUUAUUAGGGAAGAACAAAUGUGUAAGUAACUAUGCACGUCUUGACGGUACCUAAUCAGAAAGCCACGGCUAACUACGUGCCAGCCGCCGCGGUAA